rnacentral:rRNA from 1 species
CAGCCGCCGCGGUAAUACAGAGGGUGCGAGCGUUAAUCGGAUUUACUGGGCGUAAAGCGUGCGUAGGCGGCUUUUUAAGUCGAAUGUGAAAUCCCUGAGCUUAACUUAGGAAUUGCAUUCGAUACUGGGAAGCUAGAGUAUGGGAGAGGAUGGUAGAAUUCCAGGUGUAGCGGUGAAAUGCGUAGAGAUCUGGAGGAAUACCGAUGGCGAAGGCAGCCAUCUGGCCUAAUACUGACGCUGAGGUACGAAAGCAUGGGGAGCAAACAGGAUUAGAUACCCGCGUAGUCCCUGUCUCUUAUAC